rnacentral:rRNA from 1 species
GAUGAACGCUGGCGGCGUGCCUAAUACAUGCAAGUCGAGCGAACGGACGAGAAGCUUGCUUCUCUGAUGUUAGCGGCGGACGGGUGAGUAACACGUGGAUAACCUACCUAUAAGACUGGAUAACUUCGGGAAACCGUAGCUAAUACCGGAUAAUAUUUUGAACCGCAUGGUUCAAAAGUGAAAGACGGUCUUGCUGUCACUUAUAGAUGGAUCCGCGCUGCAUUAGCUAGUUGGUAAGGUAACGGCUUACCAAGGCAACGAUGCAUAGCCGACCUGAGAGGGUGAUCGGCCACACUGGAACUGAGACACGGUCCAGACUCCUACGGGAGGCAGCAGUAGGGAAUCUUCCGCAAAGGGCGAAUGCCUGACGGAGCAACGCCGCGUGAGUGAUGAAGGUCUUCGGAUCGUAAAACUCUGUUAUUAGGGAAGAACAUAUGUGUAAGUAACUGUGCACAUCUUGACGGUACCUAAUCAGAAAGCCACGGCUAACUACGUG